rnacentral:rRNA from 1 species
ACGGCUCAGUAACACGUGGACAACCUACCCUGAAGAGGGGGAUAACCCCGGGAAACUGGGGAUAAUACCCCAUAGACUAUGGAUGCUGGAAUGCUCUGUAGUUCAAAGGUCCGCCGCUUCAGGAUGGGUCUGCGGCCGAUUAGGUUGUUGUUGGGGUAACGGCCCAACAAGCCUGUAAUCGGUACGGGUUGUGGGAGCAAGAGCCCGGAGAUGGAUUCUGAGACACGAAUCCAGGCCCUACGGGGCGCAGCAGGCGCGAAAACUUUGCAAUGCGAGAAAUCGUGACAAGGGAACUCCGAGUGCCUGUAAAAUCAGGCUGUCCGCCAGUGUAAACAACUGGUGAAGAAAGGGCCGGGCAAGACCGGUGCCAGCCGCCGCGGUAAUACCGGCGGCUCGAGUGGUGGCCACUAUUACUGGGCUUAAAGCGUUCGUAGCUGGUCUGUUAAGUCUCUGGGGAAAUCUUCCGGCUUAACCGGAAGGCGUCUCAGGGAUACUGGCAGACUAGGGACCGGAAGAGGUGAGAGGUACUCCAGGGGUAGGAGUGAAAUCCUGUAAUCCUUGGGGGACCACCUGUGGCGAAGGCGUCUCACCAGGACGGCUCCGACAGUGAGGAACGAAAGCUGGGGGAGCAAACCGGAUUAGAUACCCGGGUAGUCCCAGCUGUAAACGAUGCGCGUUAGGUGUAUCGGUGACCACGAGUCACCGAGGUGCCGAAGAGAAAUCGUGAAACGCGCCGCCUGGGAAGUACGGUCGCAAGGCUGAAACUUAAAGGAAUUGGCGGGGGAGCAC